CCUACGGGUGGCAGCAGUGAGGAAUAUUGGUCAAUGGACGAGAGUCUGAACCAGCCAAGUAGCGUGAAGGAUGACUGCCCUAUGGGUUGUAAACUUCUUUUAUAUGGGAAUAAAACGUUCCACGUGUGGGGUUUUGUAUGUACCAUAUGAAUAAGGAUCGGCUAACUCCGUGCCAGCAGCCGCGGUAAUACGGAGGAUCCGAGCGUUAUCCGGAUUUAUUGGGUUUAAAGGGAGCGUAGGGGGAUUGUUAAGUCAGUUGUGAAAGUGUGCGGCUCAACCGUAAAAUUGCAGUUGAAACUGGCAGGCUUGAGUACAGGAGAGGUGUGCGGAAUUCGUGGUGUAGCGGUGAAAUGCUUAGAUAUCACGAAGAACUCCGAUUGCGAAGGCAGUACACCGGACUGCAACUGACGCUGAGGCUCGAAAGUGUGGGUAUCGAACAGGAUUAGAUACCCGUGUAGUC
rnacentral:rRNA from 1 species